rnacentral:rRNA from 1 species
CGUCCAGUCGGAGACGAGAUGCACUAUGCGGUCGGGUUCGGCAUGGCCUUCGAACGCUUCCAGCUCGACGGGGCGAUUGAUUUCUCGGAGCUCGUCGACACCAUCUCCCUGUCCGCGAUAUUCAGCUUUUGAUCUCCAAGCGCAGAAAGUCAGGGCCGACCAGGGUGUGCCCGAUCGGCCCUAAGAAGUCGUGCGAUUCUCGACAAAGAAGCCGUCUAGAAGGAGUACCGCACUCCGAUAGCCACGAUGAUGGGGUCGAGGCUCAGGUUCUCACUGUCUCCGUCGGGG